GGCGAGAGACCGAUAGCGAACAAGUACCGUGAGGGAAAGAUGAAAAGCACUUUGAAAAGAGAGUUAAACAGCGCGUGAAAUUGUUGAAAGGGAAACGAUUGAAGUCAGUCGUACCGACGAGUAAUCAGCCUUUCGGGUGUGAUUUUGCCGGACACGGAGAGCUUUACCGCAUUCGUGCUUGUAAAUUUGUGCCCUUUGGGUGUACUUUCUCGUAUGGUUAGUUAACAUCAAUUUUGGUCGUUAUAAAA
rnacentral:rRNA from 1 species